AGCUGGUUGGCAUAGUGGUUUGAGCAUUGGACUGCGACUCUGAAUACCAGGGUUUGAUUUCCAGCCUGGCCA